CUUGACCAGUGGUGUCAAAAUACCUGCAGUGAUUAGCAUGACAACAAUAGCCUGCCAGUGCGAUGUGACCAGAGCAGCUCGAACAUAACAUUCUUUAUCCAACAGAAGCAAUUACUAAGACCUCUCUGACUGCUGCCCAUUUGUAAUGUGUGAAGUGGAUUUUUCAGCAGUGCUGGUGAAGGAUUUCUUUUAGGGUCUGAUGCUUUUCUCCAGAAGUGGAGGGAAUGAGUAAUAAGAAUGUCUGAAACUGUGGCAGGCUGUCUGCAGCACAGUGUGUGCAAGCAUCAAUCACACACUAGGGCUUCUACACAAGCAAAUACACACAUACACAAAGAAAUCCCAUACGCUUAGUUAGGCAUCUGUCACCCCACAUUCAAAUAAUGACAAGAAAACAUGUAAUUGUGCCACCAAAACCCACAGCCCACUUCCCUACUUUAAUGUAAAUAUUAAUCUCAUUAGGUUAACAUUCCAAAAUGUUAAUCAUCUGUUAGUUGUCUAUACUUUUCAUUGCUGCAGGUUAGCAGUCAGUAUUUUUACUCAUUAAAGUACCUAAUAAAAAAUUUAAAGAUGUAUGGAAGAAAUGAAAUUACUUGGAUUACCUGACAAUAGAUAAGAUUAUAAACUAGCUCUUUAUAACAUCUUACUGACUUACAGAGGAAGACGAUAAUCAACACAUGACCUUGCUUACAUAUCUAGAUAUUUACUUAACCUAAUUACCUUGCUAAUGAAACCCUUUUCAGUUAGCCACACAACAACAUACAUAAACACUGGUAAAUAAGCUUAAUAUUGGUUAGGUAGGUCAGUGAAGCAACUUUUCUUAAUUAAUAAAAUACAAAGAGGGGCAGCAGUGGAGAGGAAGAGGAAUAGCUGAGACACAGGUAGAACCACAGAGUAACAGCUUGGCUCUUGACCCCCCAAAUGCUCCAAGGGCAUACAAGCAGCGAACCCUGUGCCUUGACCCUGAACUUCCUUUCUUGUCUGGGAAGGGAUGUAGCCAUAUGCAAACACAAUUGCUAUUUACAAUGGCCAAGGAAAGUCAAUUCCUUCUUUCCUUUUAAUAGAAUAUCUGAUAAGACACCAUUUUAGAAACUGUUUUUUUUUUUUUUUUUUUUUUUUUACAUUGUUUCACAAACAAAAACAUAGGAGCACCUUCAAACUGCUCAGAAAGCAAAUAUUUUAGUUCAACCACAGUGAUAUUGAAUUCUUGAUUCUGAUUGGCGGUCAGAAGGUGAUGAUUCAUUUUCUCUAACUGCGCUGACUGUAGCUCCUGCUGUAAUUAAUAUGAUAGGUUUAAAUUCUAUUCUAUUCUAAUACUACUCAAAUACUAAGAUCCACUAAUACUAGAUUUUAAUCAUUUCUAUCAUAACAGCUCGUUCACAAUUACUUUUAUAGCAGACAAUCUACAUAUUCAAAUGGUAAUACUAAAAGGAUUUAAAAAAACAUUCAUUACUUAACAUAGAAAAACGUAUAAUAAUCAACAUUUGGCAGACACCCUUAUCCAGAGCAACUUCCAUUUAUACAAUUGAGCAGUUGAGGGUUAAGGGCCUUACUCUAAGGCCCAGCAGUAGAAGUUGGUAGUGCUGGGAUUUGAACACAAAACCUUCCGAUCAGUAGGCUAAUGUCUUUGCCACUGCCCUGCUGUAGCUUUCUAUAAGGAAAGCUUGUAACAGUCAGUAAUAUUCAUUACAGAGGAUUUAGUGCUUGCGGUUUCUCUGUACCAUGACAAGCUGCAUAAGAGGCAGUUGAGGGAACCACUGUUUAUCGCUACUAUAGCAUAAAUGAUAACAUGAACUAACGUCUUGCAGAGGUUCCACAAUAUUAAAUGUAACUGGUUAAAGGUUAAAAAGCAUGACAUGUCAUUCAGUAUUAAAUUUUUUUAAAAAAAGACACUUGUUGGCAAAUACUGUGGUAUAAGAUAAUAAAACACUUCAGGAUGUGCUGUUAAAGGGAAAUAAUCUACAACUUCUGGCUGGUAACAGUAACUCUUUGCAUUGAGCUGUAUCACACAACCCCAUCUUGGAUUAUUUGACAAUAACAGCACACACCAUCAUAUCCUUUAUACAUUUGAAUGUAUGAGAUUUUUGGUACUGCAAGGUAUGACACUGUGAAAUCAUCAACAAAUAUUUGUCAUUGGCUUUAUUGUAUGUGGAAGUGGUUUACUCACAUUUCAUUAAAAAUUAGAAAUAUUAUAAUAAUUAUUAUCAUAAUUAUAUUAUAAGACUUAUAAUUAUAUAAUUCCAUUAAACAAUACAAUUGCAAUGGAUCUGCAUAAUGUUUCAAAGAAAGGGUAAGUGAAUUCAAAUACUUAAUUUGAUAAUUAUCAGAUUUCUGAAGAUUCUGUAGGACUGUUUUGAAUGACAGACAAACUGAUACGAACUUAUCUGAUUUGAUCUGAAACUGACUUAUGACAUUGAAAUGACAAAUCAGCUUCAGCUGUGUGAAUUUAAGCUCCCAUCCACUAGCCCCAUAUUUAGAUGUGAAAUGCUUACGAGAUGUCCCAAUUUACAUCAUAUACAACCAAUUUUUAUUAACCAUGCCCUAAUUUAGGCAUUUAAAGUGCAUUUAAGUGUUGCAGCAGUGGGUCAAUUAAAGAAAAUAUUCAGCAGACUACAGUCCAAAUGUAAAUAAGGAGAGGAGAAAAAAAAUCUCAGGUGUGUGUAGCCAAGGUGGAUGCAAAUAAACAUGCCGAUAGCUUCAAAAAUGCUAUAAAAGGUGAAAACUUGAAAUAAAAUAAAAUUAACUAUUAACACAUAUUCAGUGAUGGUCCAAUAGGUUUUGCUUUUGCAAUACUUACUUCAAAAUGAGGUAUUAAACUGAACCAUUUUCCAGCCUUCUGAUCAAGAAUAUUUAUAACUUGGUUUUAAUUCAUUUUAGAACUUGGGUAGAUCAGAUAGACGUGUCAAGAUUUAAUUAAAUAUAUUAAAUAUAGACAUGCCGAGUUUCCACACUGAACCAGCCAUAAAAAUAUCUGUGCACAUCCCUAGUCAAAAGCCCUCUUCAAUAGUACGUUAAUUACAAUAAGUCAAAAAUUACAAAAAAUUUAAAUGGCAUCUCCGAUCUUGGGUGAAUCAUUGUGCUUAGUCACAUUUAAGAAUAAUUAUAAUGUGUGCUAGAACUGCCAGAGCUGAUCUGAUGUUAUACAAUUGCUCUGGAUUCACACAAGGAAAACAAUAAAAGAUGAUUUAUGUCUAGCUUGGAUUGCCAAUAUCAACUUUGGUUAGCCUCUUUUUGAACAGGAAGUGACCAAGCCAGAGCAGCCAUUUAGCUGAAGCAUCACUUUCACUGCACGAUUGACAUCUGGGAAUGUUCCACUGUAUCCUAGCACCAGUCAGGACUUGCUGUACACCUGGUUUCUGGCACUAAUCUACUGAUGACAGAUGAUUGCAGUAAAACAGCCCCACGUACGCUCUCCCUGGUGCCUGGGAGAGAGAGUUGCUGCAGUCUCCUCUGCUAGGACAGCUCUUUUUCCUCUUUGGAUCAUAUGCCAAGCAUUGCCUGAUGAACCUUAAUCUGGAGCAGUGCCCAUGUGUUCAGACAAGUGGCAGGAUGAAGGAAGUAGGAAUGAUUACAGCAAGCAAAAGCUAGCAAAAAGUCCAAACAACCAAGCCUUAACUUCAGAGGAGCUGAUACCUGUGUCCUUGGUGGUCAGAGAACAUCUGCAUGCACAUGUCCUCACAUAAGCCAGGGGUCUGUGGUGCACAAAGAUACCUGAUCCAGAAAACAGGAGGAGCCCAGUCUUUGUUACAAAUGGGCCCCCUGAACAUGUCACUUGGCUCCAGCUGUGCACAGAGAGACAGUGCUUGCCAUUAAUGCAGAACAAAAAUAACAGAACAUGUAACAAAUUAACCUGGCAGUCACAUAAUACUGGAAUGAUUCCAUGAAUGUACAAAAAUAAAGAAUAUGUGGUAUUUUGGCAAUAUAAUAUUUGUUUUUAUAUCACAGUGCUGUAGAAUCUGAUUGGUUAGAAGAUGGCAAUAAUUUUUCUAUAACAGCAGCUCUGAUAAUAGUGUCAGCUUCAAGGCAAAUCAUAGGUGAAUAUUAAUGCACUCAUUCUAACAUGUUUCAUGGCUACAUAAUUCUUGAUUAACCCUCCUGUUACCCUCAAAUAAUAUUUUUUCCCCAUUGACACCAGCAAUUUAAACCUCAGAAUAUGAUUUUUUUUUUUUCACAAAGGUUUAUGUCUCGGGUAAUGUAUGUGUCUUUGUUGAUUAUUUAAAUAGCCCUUUAU
ensembl:lncRNA